UCAGUUCGGACUGGAGUCUGCAACCCGACUCCACGAAGCUGGAUUCGCUAGUAAUCGCGCAUCAGCCACGGCGCGGUGAAUACGUUCCCGGGCCUUGUACACACCGCCCGUCAAGCCAUGGGAGCCGGGGGUACCUGAAGUGCGUAACCGCGAGGAUCGCCCUAGGGUAAAACUGGUGACUGGGGCUAAGUCGUAACAAGGUAAC
rnacentral:rRNA from 1 species